rnacentral:rRNA from 1 species
GAUGAACGCUGGCGGCGUGCCUAAUACAUGCAAGUCAAGCGAACAGACGAGGAGCUUGCUCCUCUGACGUUAGCGGCGGACGGGUGAGUAACACGUGGAUAACCUACCUAUAAGACUGGGAUAACUUCGGGAAACCGGAGCUAAUACCGGAUAAUAUAUUGAACCGCAUGGUUCAAUAGUGAAAGACGGUUUUGCUGUCACUUAUAGAUGGAUCCGCGCCGCAUUAGCUAGUUGUUAAGGUAACGGCUUACCAAGGCGACGAUGCGUAGCCGACCUGAGAGGGUGAUCGGCCACACUGGAACUGAGACACGGUCCAGACUCCUACGGGAGGCAGCAGUAGGGAAUCUUCCGCAAUGGGCGAAAGCCUGACGGAGCAACGCCGCGUGAGUGAUGAAGGUCUUCGGAUCGUAAAACUCUGUUAUUAGGGAAGAACAAAUGUGUAAGUAACUAUGCACGUCUUGACGGUACCUAAUCAGAAAGCCACGGCUAACUACGUG